UACGUAGGGGGCGAGCGUUGUCCGGAUUCAUUGGGCGUAAAGGGCAAGUAGGCGGCUUGGCAAGUCGGAUGUGAAAACUCUGGGCUUAACCCAGAGACGCCAUCCGAUACUGCUAUGGCUAGAGUCCGGUAGGGGACCACGGAAUACCUGGUGUAGCGGUGAAAUGCGCAGAUAUCAGGUGGAACACCGGUGGCGAAGGCGGCCUGCUGGGCAGUGGCUGACGCUGAGGCGCGACAGCGUGGGGAGCAAACAGG
rnacentral:rRNA from 1 species